rnacentral:rRNA from 1 species
GCAACGGGAUGGCCGGGAGCCGGGGGAGGGCGGAGGGGGCGGGGGUGGGUCGGAGUGACUGGGCAUAAAGCGGGCGUAGGCGGCCAAGUGAGUCGGGUGUGGAAGCCGUCGGCUCAACCGAGGAACUGCGCCCGAUACUGCUUGGCUUGAGGUCCGGAGGGGAGAGUGGAAUUCCCGGUGGAGCGGUGAAAUGCGUAGAGAUCGGGAAGAACGCCGGCGGCGAAAGCGACUCUCUGGUCGGAUCCUGACGCUGAGGCGCGAAAGCUAGGGGAGCAAACGGGAUUAGAUACCCGAGUAGUC